AGGGAAUCCUUGCCGGUGGAUAUUAUAAAUUCCGAAACCGUUGAGCUUCCUUCGGUCGUUGGUUCAGUAUGUGAGGGUAACAGGCUGAUCUUAGUUGGGGCCCUUGCCCCACCUUGUGCAUGUAUCUGAAUUCUGAACAAAGAGGAAGUUGCAACCAUCGCUUUGAAGGAUGAGCCAGUUCUUUACAGCUAGACCACAUGCUUGUGAUCCUUCAAGUUUGCAACAAUAUCUUCCUAGCAAAGAAAUUGAUGCGGAAAUGAAAGAAAAUGGAGCUAAUAGGUUUGUGCUUUUUAAGUGUGUUCUUAAAUUCAACUUUGGCUAAUCUGACUCAAAUGAUUCUUGUAGGCAA